GCAGGCCCGGCGGGGUCGGCAGGCACAGCCACGGCAGCAGGAAAGGGCCUUGAAAACCCAGACGUGUUGGAUGUGUUUCUGUGGUUUAGCCACCACCAUCCCCAGCCCCUCUGUCCUGGGCAUUGAUGCUGGGGGGCUUCAGCCCCUUGGGGUGAUCCCCACCGUGAAGGGUGCAGAGAGCCUGGGGACCCCCGAGCCACUGCUGCCCACACAGCUACUGCAACCAGCCCAACACCCGCAGCCUCCUCUCUUCCUGGGGAAAAAAAGAGGUGCAAGCUCCACUGUGAUAAAACUAGUAUUUAUUAACUAAAUGAAGUGGGACCAGGGCCAGACUGAUUCACGUUUUAAUUGUUUAACUUUUUCCAUGUAUCAUCAUUUAAAUUACAUACUUAGCCAGGCAUUAUUUCCACCACCACACCCCUGUUUUUCUGCAGCUUUUGUUUGGAGUUAACUUUGGUUUUGUUACUGCCAGUCUGCCCCAGGGACUCAAAAAAUUUCUCAGAUGUCGUGUGCCACAGGAGGGGGACUGGGGGAAAGAGGCCCAUUGGAAAAGUUUCCUGUUUUCCCUUUCUCAUAUAUGAAAUAAGCUAUUUUAAUUACUUUAGGGAGGAAAAAAAAAAUCCCUACACAUAUAAUAAAACCCAGAAAACCAUGCUUGAUUCUAGAGAAACUUA